GAUGAACGCUGGCGGCGUGCUUAACACAUGCAAGUCGAACGGGAUCCCUGGCGGCCUGGCUGUCGGGGUGAGAGUGGCGAACGGGUGAGUAAUGCGUGACCAACCUGCCCUGUGCACCGGAAUAGCUCCUGGAAACGGGUGGUAAUACCGGAUGCUCCGCUCCACCGCAUGGUGGGGUGGGAAAUGCUUUUUUGCGGCAUGGGCUGGGGUCGCGCCCUAUCAGCUUGUUGGCGGGGUGAUGGCCCACCAAGGCGUUGACGGGUAGCCGGCCUGAGAGGGUGACCGGCCACAUUGGGACUGAGAUACGGCCCAGACUCCUACGGGAGGCAGCAGUGGGGAAUAUUGCACAAUGGGCGCAAGCCUGAUGCAGCGACGCCGCGUGCGGGAUGGAGGCCUUCGGGUUGUAAACCGCUUUUGUUCAAGGGCAAGGCACGGUCUUUGGGCCGUGUUGAGUGGAUUGUUCGAAUAAGCACCGGCUAACUACGUGCCAGCCGCCGCAGUAA
rnacentral:rRNA from 1 species